UACGGGGGGGGGCAAGCGUUUGUUCGGAAUUACUGGGCGUAAAGGGCUCGUAGGUGGCCAACUAAGUCAGACGUGAAAUCCCUCGGCUUAACCUGGGAACUGCAUCUGUGACUGCAUAGCUAGAGUACGGUAGAGGGGGAUGGAAUUCCGCGUGUAGCAGUGAAAUGCGUAGAUAUGCGGAGGAACACCGAUGGCGAAGGCAAUCCCCUGGACCUGUACUGACGCUCAUGCACGAAAGCGUGGGGAGCAAACAGG
rnacentral:rRNA from 1 species